rnacentral:lncRNA from 1 species
AUGCAUUCCUCACCUGCUAGAAUCUCCUGCGCUGAGCAGCAGCUGCCAGUGACUGCAGAGCGACACAUGCCAGAGCCUCAGAGAAGCACGUGCAAGAGAGGCUGCAGUGGACAGCCGCAGGCGCAAGGGUCCUCCUGCCAAUCAAGAGGUACUCAGUGCCUUCACAAGGAAGAGAACGGUGGAAGUGCUUUCAGCCAUCCUUGUUCCCUGAAUGUCCUACCACUUCUGAAGCUCUUUCACUGUCCAUAGCUGAGCCACUUGAUGAAAAAUCAGAGGCUGGGGCAUGGUUCAGUUGAUGAAGUGAUUGUCUAACGCACUUGAAACCCUAGAUUGGAUCUGCAACAUGGUAUAAAACUGGGUGUGGUAGUGCACUCCUGUCAGAGGUACAGGCGUGAGGACCAACAGUUCUAGGUCCAGCUUAGUUAACUGAUUUUGGGUCCAGCUUGGGCUACGUGAGUCCCUAUCUCAAAAGAACAAAUGGACAAGCGAAAAACAGCAGGGAAAAGAAAGAAGAAAGACAGGGUUCAGAGGGUAUAUGAAACAACACUUUUAGUACAACAGUUGAGCAUUUAUGUGUGCUUCCAGGGCAGCUUCAAAGAAAAGGGACGUACACACCUUCCCAGCCAUUCCCAGCCAUCCCUCGGGAGGAUUAUAGUGAUAAAUCCAGGCAAACUGACUGGAGACACAGCAUACUGAGCUGCUGCUCUAUAAUGGGCUUCCAGAAAACCUGGUAGAGCUCAGAGAGAGAGAGAGCUGUAAAUGGAGAGAGAGGAAGACAUGUGGUUGGUAAUCAUAGCUCCCCACCUAGGGUCUGAUCUCCACAGAUCAAUCCAGGGAACCCAAGUUGUCUCUAGAAGGAGCAAGGCUUCAAUAGGAUACAUCUAUUAGCAAGAAGGAGGUCACGUGUUAAAGGGGGUGUCACUUUGAAAGUUGGACUUAUCAACAGUGGGGGGAGGGUUCUCUUACUCAAAGGUUUUAUUUUUCAAACUCGUAGUCUUUCCUUUCUCUCUCUCUCUCUCUCUCUCUCACACACACACACACACACACACAAUUACAGCUGACUAAGCAGUUGCUGAGUAAAAGAUAUGCAAAGAUAAUUUACUUCUAAGUUUUCUGUGUUGGGGGACUUGAUGCUGAGCAUCCUGUAAAUAUUGCAUUGUAUAAAAAUUGCUGCUUCUCACUAUGUAAAUAUUAACAGAAGUGAAAGGAGGGCAAUGGGGAACCAGUGUGAGAAAGUACAAGAUAUGAAGAAAAUGUCAGAAAAUGUGGGCCAGACUGCACAGUUCACACAGUUAGAUAGAAAUUUUUAAAUGUAUAUUUUCCCUUUUAAAACCCUUUAAAAUGUUUUUAUGGGCAUGUGUUUAUUGCACGUGGUGUGGGUUUCAUAAAGAAUUUAUUCCAGAUGUUUACUUCCAUAUCUUUCCCUUUCCUUUCUCCCCUCCAAACCCACCAGCCUUUCCCCUCCUCCAGCUUCACUUCAGCUUCCACAUCAUAUGUUAAUGGUUUGAUAUCAUCCUAUAAAAUCUAGGAUCUAUGAAUAAGAGAGCAUGUGAUAUUUGUUUUCCUGAGUCUGGUUCUGGUUUAUUUUACUUAAUAUGAUUUCAAGUGAAACCUAUUUCACUGAAAAUAAUAUGAUUUUUCCUUCAUAAUUGAAUAAAAUAACAUUACCCAUGUAUAUGUAAAUUUUA